CCAAAUGCUAUCCAUUCGUUCUGAUUGGUCAGUUUUUGUUUGUUUAUUUUUUUGCCAGUGGUGAUAAAUGAAAAGAAAACUAGUUACAAAAAAUGCUCAUAUUUAAUUAUGAAAACGUUAUUUUGGUAGAACAUUGUUUUUCUUGAUAAUAUGCAUUAAUAAUAAUUAUCAGACAUUCUUCCAUCCUUCACCAAGUGUGUUGGUUGAUGCACUUUUUCACAAUUCUUUUCCUCGGCCUGUGGCCCACUUCAUUAUCAGCCUGCAUAUCGUCGGUGACCUCUGUCUGUUUACCCUCUAUAAUUUACAUAAUUUACACCGAGGAUGACAGUGAGUUACACUUACACACAGACCUGCACCAUCCAGACAAGCGUGACAGCAUAAGCGGCGUGAUGGCUAAUUUCGCAGGCCGAGUUGUUCUAAUUACAGGUAACUAUGACAAACUAGGUUUCCUCCACAGAGACAUGCGUGUAGAUGGUUGUAGGAUCAAGUACUCUCAAGAAGGCUGUCACUUCGAGGUGUUAUGAGCGAGUGCUGGAAUUGGAGAAGGGACAGCAUUGCACUUUGCCAAACAUGGCGCCAAACUCUCGCUAACGGGGCGGGAUAAGACCUAGAAGACGUCGCUAAGCGAUGCUCAGAGUGCGGGAUACCUGCUGGUGACAUCUUGACUCUGACGCAGCGUUCAGGAAGGCCUGCAUUGAAAAGACAGUCGCCAGGUUUGCCAGGCUCGACGUAGUGGGAACAUUGUAAACGUAUCAAGUCGCUCAAGU